CCCUUAGAUGUUCUGGGCCGCACGCGCGCUACACUGAUGCAUUCAACGAGUCUAAAACCUGGUCUGAUAGGGCUGGGUAAUCUUUUGAAUGUGCAUCGUGAUUGGGAUAGAUGAUUGCAAUUCUUCAUCUUCAACGAGGAAUGCCUAGUAAACGCAAGUCAUCAGCUUGCAUUGAUUAUGUCCCUGCCCUUUGUACACACCGCCCGUCGCUCCUACCGAUUGAAUGUUCCGAUGAAUACCAUGGACUGAGAGUAUGAAUGGGUUCGCCUAUUUCUGCUUCUCGGGAAGUGGAGUAAAUCUUAACAUUUAGAGGAGGGAGAAGUCGUAACA
rnacentral:rRNA from 1 species